AUGUCCCAUUGUACAAAGCCACAUGAGGCAUCUUUAAAUGGCUUUGAUAGUGGACUUCACCCUAACCGGCAUGCAGUCCGAUUGUGGAGGGGAUGGUGAUGCGACAUGGGCUCCACUGGUGCACAGUCGGUAGGUGGAGUGGUACAGCUAGACAAUAUGGCCUAACAGGUUUGUACAAAAAGGAAUGAUUGGAUUGUCCUCCAGUUUGGACCU
rnacentral:lncRNA from 1 species